rnacentral:rRNA from 1 species
CGAAAGCCUGACGGAGCAAUACCGCGUGAGGGAUGACGGCCUAUGGGUUGUAAACCUCUUUUUUCAGGGAGGAAUCAAUGACGUGUACCUGAAGAAUAAGCAUCGGCUAACUCCGUGCCAGCAGCCGCGGUAAGACGGAGGAUGCAAGUGUUAUCCGGAAUCACUGGGCGUAAAGCGUCUGUAGGUGGUCAAAUAAGUCAACUGUUAAAUCUUGAGGCUUAACCUCAAAAUCGCAGUCGAAACUAUUAGACUAGAGUAUAGUAGGGGUAAAGGGAAUUUCCAGUGGAGCGGUGAAAUGCGUAGAGAUUGGAAAGAACACCGAU